GUUGGGUAUGAUGGCACAUGCCUGUAAUCCCAACUAGCAGGGGAGGCUGAGGCUGGCAGAUUUUGAGCUCAGGAAUUCUGAGCUACAGUAGGCUAUACCAGUUAGGUGUCUGCACUAAUUUCUCAAUCAACAUGGAGAGUUUCUAGGAUUGGGGGAGGAGGGAGACACUAGGUUGCCUGAAGGGCAAACUAGUCCAGAUCAGAAAUGGAGAGGGUUAAAGCUUCUGUGCUGGACAGUGGUGGAAUUGGUUCCACGAGUGGCGUCUGUACUUAGCCUGGGUGAGAUGAAGAGACCCAAUCUAAA
ensembl:misc_RNA Metazoa_SRP Metazoan signal recognition particle RNA